rnacentral:misc_RNA from 1 species
GAAUCACUCUAAAUGGACAUGUCCUAUGUAAAGGAAGACCUAAACUAUUUGGGCCACACCGAAGCCCACUACCCUAAGCCCAAGUCCGUCUUUUUUUGUUUUUGUGGCUAGGUAGAACUACUACUAUGAACUCAUCUUGGGAAUUAAAAUUUUCAUUUACACAAUCAAUUACUGACCUUCCCUUCCAAAGCUUCCACGACCAAAAAAGCUUUCUUUGUAAGGGAUCCUG